UACGGGGGGAGCAAGCGUUGUUCGGAUUUACUGGGCGUAAAGGGCGCGUAGGCGGUCGUGACAAGUCACUUGUGAAAUCUCCGGGCUUAACUCGGAACGGUCAAGUGAUACUGUCGGACUAGAGUACAGAAGGGGCAACUGGAAUUCUCGGUGUAGCGGUGAAAUGCGUAGAUAUCGAGAGGAACACCUGCGGCGAAGGCGGCUUGCCAGAACGCGCUCGACGGUGAGGGAUGAAAGCUGGGGGAGCAAACCGG
rnacentral:rRNA from 1 species